AUUGAACGCUGGCGGCAUGCCUUACACAUGCAAGUCGAACGGCAGCACGGGUGCUUGCACCUGGUGGCGAGUGGCGAACGGGUGAGUAAUACAUCGGAACAUGUCCUGUAGUGGGGGAUAGCCCGGCGAAAGCCGGAUUAAUACCGCAUACGAUCUACGGAUGAAAGCGGGGGACCUUCGGGCCUCGCGCUAUAGGGUUGGCCGAUGGCUGAUUAGCUAGUUGGUGGGGUAAAGGCCUACCAAGGCGACGAGCAGUAGCUGGGCUGAGAGGACGACCAGCCACACUGGGGCUGAGACACGGCCCAGACUCCUACGGGAGGCAGCAGUGGGGAAUUUUGGACAAUGGGCGAAAGCCUGAUCCAGCAAUGCCGCGUGUGUGAAGAAGGCCUUCGGGUUGUAAAGCACUUUUGUCCGGAAAGAAAUCCUUGGCCCUAAUACGGUCGGGGGAUGACGGUACCGGAAGAAUAAGCACCGGCUAACUACGUG
rnacentral:rRNA from 1 species